GAUGAACGCUGGCGGCGUGCCUAAUACAUGCAAGUCGAGCGAACAGACGAGGAGCUUGCUCCUCUGACGUUAGCGGCGGACGGGUGAGUAACACGUGGAUAACCUACCUAUAAGACUGGGAUAACUUCGUAAAACCGCAGAUAAUACCGGAGAAUAUAUUGUACCGCUUAGUGCAAUAGUGAAUCACGGUUUUCCUGUUACUUAUAGCUGGAUCCGCGCCGCAUUAGCUAGUUGGUAAGGUAACGGCUUACCAAGGCAACGAUGCGUAGCCGACCUGAGAGGGUGAUCGGCCACACUGGAACUGAGACACGGUCCAGACUCCUACGGGAGGCAGCAGUAGGGAAUCUUCCGCAAUGGGCGAAAGCCUGACGGAGCAACGCCGCGUGAGUGAUGAAGGUCUUCGGAUCGUAAAACUCUGUUAUUAGGGAAGAACAAAUGUGUAAGUAACUAUGCACGUCUUGACGGUACCUAAUCAGAAAGCCACGGCUAACUACGUG
rnacentral:rRNA from 1 species